UGAGACCAGCCCACAGUGGUGCCCAUGAGAGAGAGCCCCAGCAGUGUCCACCACACUGACCGUGAGACCGGCCCACAGUGGUGCCCAUGAGAGAGAGCCCCAGCAGUGUCCACCACACUGACCGUGAGACCGGCCCACAGUGGAGCCCACUGCAAGCUCUGCUAGCAGGGUGACAGUACUGCUGAGGUGCAGCUGUGGAGACCUUGGCCUUUGCUCAGCUGGUCUGCGACCUGCACACACACAGCUGCUCAGGUGCGGCUCGUGAUCCUCUCUGCCCGGCCUGGCGUUGGGGGCUGAUACUCGCUGUGGCACGAGGCCCCGACUCCUGCAUCGCUUCGGCCUGGCUGUCUGCUGACCUGCUCUCAGGCUCUUUCCUCUUCCCUUCACAGUUCAGAAGCAGCGGAGAGUCGCAGUGGUCCAGCCGGAGAAACACAGAGCUCCUCCUCGGAACACGCGCCCCGACGCCCUGAGGCAGCAGGAAAACGGCCAGUCGGAGAGCGGUAAGUUUCGCGCAUCUGACACUGCUGACUUCCUUCUUACUGUCCCAGCAGGGAAAUCAGCCUUGCAGGCAGGUCAAGGACGUAGCAACACACUCAAUAUAACACGAGCCUGUUCACAAGUAAGAGCCAUGCCUGUAUGAUGAGGAAGCAGAAGGGCUUUGCAAAUAAAAGUAAACUACACAACCAGUUGUUCAGAUUAAGUAGGUUAAUAGCUGUGGGGAUGAGAGAACCCAGUUGCAUUGGAAUCUAGGCCGUCUGAGUC
rnacentral:lncRNA from 1 species